ACAGGUUGUUGAUGUUAAGGCACGCUCUCCUCGGGAAUCCGGACGAUUCAAUAUGACUUUCAAUUCAAAUUUCGAAACCCAAUUGAAAGAAAACUCUUCUGCAUCCCUUCCUCGAAGUUUCAAACGACGCUAUCAUCUAGGGUUUCAUGCUACUGCAAAUCACGUCAAGGUUUGGUAACAGAUAUGUUUUAUUUUUUUAAUCACUGGAUUUUAAAGAUUUUGGGUUUUUGUUGGUUAUUGAUUUAGGGGUUUUGUUGAUAUAGAAGAUUUAGGGUUAAUUAUCACCCCUUUUCUAGUGAUCGAUAUUGAAGGUACAAAUAAUAAAAGUUUAUUCCCCUAGAAAAAUUAAUAAGACAAGCCAAUUGUUGUUCUUUUGACGAUGAACAAACCAGACACAUACAUCAAGCUAAAGUUAUGAAGCUCAUUGAGAACAAUUAAGGAACUCCAGUCUCAUCACCUCUGCUUAGGCUACCUUAUGUCUAUAUAUAAGAGACUCUUAUAUAUAGAAAGAAAAUACGACUUGCAUCAAUCAAUGUCAUGCAAUGCCUGCAGGCUAAAGACCAGGCUUUAACCGGCCCAAGCUAAAGCUGAACCUAUUCCAGGCCAGGCUUUAGACCGAUCUUUGUCUAAAAUAAGUUGGGUCGCGGAAGGUAGGACCAGGCCUGGGCUUUAUUUGGUCUGAGAUAAGCAUGGGGGGUUUUGGUGACAUUAUGAGCCGUAAACGCACUUCUGGAAGAUUUCUUUUGAGGUAAGAAGAUCGUCUCUUGUUCCACAUUUACUAUUUUAGUAUACUGUCUUCCUUUUUGUUUUCAAGAAAAUUGAAAGUUCAAGAUAUUGUGUUUGAUUAUAUGAGCUGGAUUGUAUUGAAGCAUCAAGUUCUGUAGGUGAUUUUAAUGCCGUAAGUUCAUCUCAGACAGUGUAAUUCAAUUAAUCACACAGAAGUUCAGUGUGUUGCUAUA